GCCUGGAUAGCUCAGUUGGUUAGAGCGUGGUGCUGAUCAUGUCAAGGUUGCAGGUUCGAUCCCUGUAUGGGACA
rnacentral:tRNA from 1 species